UGGGGAAUAUUGCACAAUGGACGGAAGUCUGAUGCAGCGACGCCGCGUGGGGGAUGAAGGCUUUCGGGUUGUAAACUCCUUUCAGUACAGAAGAAGCUUUAUUGUGACGGUAUGUGCAGAAGAAGCGCCGGCUAACUACGUGCCAGCAGCCGCGGUAAUACGUAGGGCGCGAGCGUUGUCCGGAAUUAUUGGGCGUAAAGCGCUCGUAGGCGGUCUGUUAGGUCGGCAAGUUAAAUCCGGGGGCUCAACCCCCGUCCGCUUCCGAUACCGGCAGACUUGAGUUUGGUAGGGGAAGGUGGAAUUCCUAGUGUAGCGGUGGAAUGCGCAGAUAUUAGGAAGAACACCGGUGGCGAGGGCGGCCUUCUGAGCCAUAACUGACGCUGAGGAGCGAAAGCUAGGGGAGCGAACAGG
rnacentral:rRNA from 1 species